rnacentral:rRNA from 1 species
AGCCUGAACGCUGGCGGCGUGGCUAAGACAUGCAAGUCGAACGGACGUAGCAAUACGUUAGUGGCGGACGGGUGAGUAAUGAAUCGCUAAUGUGCCCUUAGGCCUGGGAUAGCCAACCGAAAGGUUGGGUAAUACCAGAUGAUAUAACCCCUCGGCAUCGAGGGGUUCUCAAAGCAGUAAUGCACCUUUGGAGCAGGUGAUUUCGUAUCAGGUAGUUGGUAGGGUAACGGCCUACCAAGCCGACGACGCGUAGCCGGGCUGAGAGGUCGGCCGGCCACAUUGGGACUGAGACACUGCCCAGACUCCUACGGGGGGCUGCAGUAACGAAUCUUCCGCAAUGCACGAAAGUGUGACGGAGCGACGCCGCGUGGAGGAGAAGUUCUUCGGAAUGUAAACUCCUGUCAUGAGAAAGAAAGUUCUGAUCUACUCAAGAGGAAGGGACGGCUAACUCUGUGCCAGCAGCCGC